rnacentral:ncRNA from 1 species
UUUAGUCCUAACCUUAAAGUCAGUUUUUACUUUAUGUACACAUGCAAGUAUCCGCCCCCCUGUGAAAAUGCCCUUAACUCCCUCCUGGGACGAGGAGCUGGUAUCAGGCACAAUUAUAUGCCCAAGACACCUAGCUAUGCCACACCCACAAGGGAAUUCAGCAGUGAUUAAUAUUGAAAAUUAGCGCAAGCUUGAUUCAGUUAAAGUAAUAUAGAGCCGGCCAAUCUGGUGCCAGCCGCCGCGGUUACACCACGUGGCUCAAAUUGAUCUCCUCCGGCGUAAAGCGUGCUUAAAGUUUUACUCUUUUAGAGUUAAACUAGAACUGAGCUGUGACACGCCUGUUCAUAAGAAACCCUAGAACGAAAGUUACUCUAAUUUAAUCAACUUGAAUUCACGACAGUUGGGAAACAAACUGGGAUUAGAUACCCCACUAUGCCCAACCGUAAACUCUUAAUUACAUUUUAUCGCCAGGGAACUACGAGCCAAGCUUAAAACCCAAAGGACUUGACGGUACCCCACAUCCUCCUAGAGGAGCCUGUCCUAUAAUCGAUAAUCCUCGUUUAACCUCACCAUUUUUAGUUAAUCAGCCUGUAUACCUCCGUCGUCAGCUUACCACGUGAGCGUGAAUUAGUGAGCUUAAUGUUUUUCACCAACACGUCAGGUCAAGGUGCAGUAAAUGAAAUGGAAAGAGAUGGGCUACACUUUCUACUGUAGAAGAGACGGAAAACAUUCAUGAAAUCUAGUUAGAAGGCGGAUUUAGCAGUAAAAGGGGGUCAGAAUACCCAUUUUAACCCGGCACUGGGGUGUGUACACACCGCCCGUCAUCCUCUUCAAGGCCUCAACAAGUAUAAACUAAUCAAGGCACAACAGAAGGGGCAAGUCGUAACAUGGUAAGUAUACCGGAAGGUGUGCUUGGAAA